UCUCGUUAGAUCACCGAAGUCAAGCAUCAUUGGGCGCGGUCAGUACUUGGGUGGGUGACCACCUGGGAACACCGCGUGCUGUU